GAUGAACGCUGGCGGCGUGCCUAAUACAUGCCAGUCGAGCGAACAGAUAAGGAGCUUGCUCCUUUGACGUUAGCGGCGGACGGGUGAGUAACACGUGGGUAACCUACCUAUAAGACUGGAAUAACUCCGGGAAACCGGGGCUAAUGCCGGAUAACAUGUUGAACCGCAUGGUUCUACAGUGAAAGGCGGCUUUGCUGUCACUUAUAGAUGGACCCGCGCCGUAUUAGCUAGUUGGUGAGGUAACGGCUCACCAAGGCAACGAUACGUAGCCGACCUGAGAGGGUGAUCGGCCACACUGGAACUGAGACACGGUCCAGACUCCUACGGGAGGCAGCAGUAGGGAAUCUUCCGCAAUGGGCGAAAGCCUGACGGAGCAACGCCGCGUGAGUGAUGAAGGUCUUCGGAUCGUAAAACUCUGUUAUUAGGGAAGAACAAAUGCGUAAGUAACUGUGCGCGUCUUGACGGUACCUAAUCAGAAAGCCACGGCUAACUACGU
rnacentral:rRNA from 1 species